AUGAUGUUGAUUAAUGAUGACUUGAUGAAGAUGGAGGCAUACUUUACCUGUGUCCUAGCCGUCCUCAGGUAAGAAAUGUUCAUAUUUUCCUCGUUCAGUAUUCUGCAAUAACCAAACCAUGCCCGUCUGAGUAUGUGCUUCAUCUUCUAAUUUUUCUUUUCUUAAUUCUUAUCCCCAGGACGGUGGCGGUGUGGUCCACUACGAGACGCAAGGUGAAGCUACGGACAAGUGUGGCGCUGGUGGUGGGCGUCGUUGUCUUUGUUUUAGCUAUCACUGCAGGUAAGGAUUGUACUCCCUAUGGUAUUCUCACCACAAAAUAUACGCCGCCGUUCUGAUAACUUCACAAAUUCUUGCUGUCCUACAAUACAUCCUGCCGGUGGUCAUCACACCUCGCCUGCUACUGCUCCAUGAUAUUCGUGGUAAGACGCAACAAGCGCCCCCUGGCCGUCACUCCAGACACGGCAGGGACAGGCCAGGUGAUGGACCAGGCCACGCAGUCCAUGCUGGUUUUCAUCAGCAACCUGCUACUGACCCCGUCGGAAUUUGUGCGCCCCUAUCUGCUUAAGUCUAAUCUUUCCCAUGGCAUUAUCUCCUUGGCCUUCUAUAUCAUUUUCUUCACACACUUUUUCCUUCAACCGCUGGUAUUUGUAUAUUUCAAGCUGCACCACUGGCAAUGCGUCCUGCAGGCACUCAAGUCCUGCCUGCAAUAGGUCACCUGCAGGCCGCCGUCUGUACCCCCGCACGCCACCACCAACCUCCCCCUCUACUCACUCCAAAAUGUUGCACAAGGAUCAUAGCUAAAGAUAUUGUGUGUUUACAUUCACCUAAUGAUGAUUUUUUUUUUUUUUUUUUUGAGCAAGUUGUCUUACAAUCAUCGGCCAGUGUUUUUUUGUUUUGUUUUUUUGUAAAGAAUAAACUUAAGUAUCUUAUCUGGAAGAUUUAGAUUAUCCAUUCACAUCCCUAAAAGUUCUGCA
rnacentral:misc_RNA from 1 species